GUCAUUUUGAAAUAGCAAUACGGAAGAAUGACUUAGUGGCGCACGGGUGAGUAACACGUAGGUAACCUGCCCUUAAGAGGGGGAAAACCCGCCGAAAGGCGAGCUAAUACCGCAUAAGACCACGAACUGAGAUGUUUGUGGUAAAAGGAGCAAUCCACUUAAGGAUGGGCCUGCUGCUUAUCAGGUAGUUGGUGAGGUAACGGCUCACCAAGCCUAAGACGGGUAGCCGGUCUGAGAGUACGGACGGCCACACUGGCGCUGAGACACGGUCCAGACUCCUACGGGAGGCAGCAAUGGGGAAUUUUGCACAAUGGGCAAAAGCCUGAUGCAGCGACGCCGCGUGGAGGAUGAAGGCCUUCGGGUUGCAAACUCCUUUUGUAGGGGAAAAUAAUGAUGGUACCCUGCGAAUAAGCCGCGGCUAACUCUGUGCCAGCAGCCGCGGUAAGACAGAGGUGGCAAGCGUUGUUCGGAAUUACUGGGCUUAAAGGGCGCGUAGGCGGUAAGAUAAGUC
rnacentral:rRNA from 1 species